GUGCAGCAGGCGAGAAUCAUUCGCAAUGGGCGAAAGCCUGACGAUGCGACGCCGUGUGAGCGAAGAAGGCCUUCGGGUUGUAAAGCUCUUUCGCCUGGGAACAAGGGAGUGUGGCUAAUAUCCAUGCAACUUGAGCGUACCAGGUAAAGAAGCACCGGCUAACUCCGUGCCAGCAGCUGCGGUAAUACGGAGGGUGCAAGCAUUAAUCGGAUUUAUUGGGCGUAAAGGGCGCGUAGGCGGGAAGGUAAGUCAGACGUAAAAUCCCGAGGCUCAACCUCGGACCUGCGUUUGAAACUGCCAUUCUUGAGGAUAGGUGGGGAAAGCGGAAUUCCACAAGUAGCGGUGAAAUGCGUAGAUAUGUGGAGGAACACCGGUGGCGAAAGCGGCUUUCUAACUUAUUCCUGACGCUGAGGCGCGAAAGCAAGGGGAUCAAACAGGAUUAGAUACCCGCGUAGUCC
rnacentral:rRNA from 1 species